rnacentral:rRNA from 1 species
UACAUGGGGUGCAACCGUUGCUCGGAAUUAUUGGGCGUAAAGCGCGCGUAGGCGGUUACUUAAGUCGGAUGUGAAAGCCCUCGGCUUAACUGAGGAAGUGCACCCGAAACUGAGUAGCUGGAGUACGAAAGAGGGUCGCGGAAUUCCCGGUGUAGAGGUGAAAUUCGUAGAUAUCGGGAGGAACACCGGUGGCGAAGGCGGCCAUCUGGACGGUAACUGACGCUGAGACGCGAAAGCGUGGGUAGCAAACAGG